CACACAUUCAUAAUGAAUGCGUAAUUUAUUACAUGAACACUAUAUCUGAGGACACGAUUUCUCAAGAAAUCUUUCUUUUCAGGCUACCUCCAGAACGUUCAGUCCAUGGUGCUGUCUAACCAAAAGUUAUGGAUGUUAGCGGGCUACGGUGACAAUAGGAGGUGAGUUUUAGCAAACGCUUUAGCCAAUCAACCAUCUCUAUUAUGGUCACAUGUUAUCUUAAAUGUAAUCCCGAAGUUUUGUACUUGAAAUGUAAUCAUAUAAUACCGCAUGAUUCUCAGCAAUAUCGUAUCAUUAAUUUGCUAUCUGACCUACAAAACACGCAACAUCUUAAAUGUAUUUUAUAAAAUGUUCUAUACUUGAUUAUAUAAACAUUUUUGUCAACAAUGCAAGCCAGUAUUAAUAUGAGAUCAUGACACGCCACCCAUGUAUCGCCGUUCCGAAAGAUACAAUUUUGUGAAAGAUUUGAAGCAAAUUGUAACGCAGACUUUAUCAUCGCCGGUAAAAAUAAUCUCAAUCUAUAUAGGUUACUGAUAUUUCUUGGUACAAAAUAUCAUUUUCUGGGAACUAAUUUCCAUAUUUUUGAAACACGAAAGAAAUGCUUGUCAACAUAAG